UUUGAGUAAUUUAGCUUCAGUCCUGCUGCCUGUUACGAUUUUAACUUUCUUUCCAUCUCUCUAUUUAACUGUGAAAUAUGCCUCUGCCAUUUUGCUUCCCUUUACCUUGAAUCUUGGUGAAUACACAUUACAAAUUUGCUGCUACCUUUUUUGUUUUCACCAUCAAUGCACCAUCAUUAACAAAAUCCUAUUGUCCGGUGUGCUUAAGAUGGGCUAUGCAGGUAAGUAUGUCAGGUAAGGAUCAGUUAACAUAGGUAAAUAGAAUACAGGUAAGGAUCAGUUAACAUAGGUAAAUAGAAUACAAAAAAGUUCAGCGGCCUCGUAUCUGCAGUGCUAACAGCCCUUUUUUUGCUGCCAUUGGAAGCUUUAUAUGUGAUAGCAAAUAGCAAUAGCAUGGUGUAUGAAUGUAUAUUGUGGAUAUCCAAUUAUGCGUAG
rnacentral:lncRNA from 1 species